GAAAUGCGAUAAGUAAUGUGAAUUGCAGAAUUCAGUGAAUCGUCGAAUCUUUGAACGCACCUUGCGCUCCUUGGUAUUCCUUGGAGCAUGCCUGUUUGAGUAUCAUGAAAUCUUCAAAGUAAAUCUUUUGUUAACUCAAUUGGUUUCUACUUUGGUAUUGGAGGUCUUUGCAGCUUCACACCUGCUCCUCUUUGUUCAUUAGCUGGAUCUCAGUGUUAUGCUUGGUUCCACUCGGCGUGAUAAGUUAUCUAUCGCUGAGGACACUGUAAAAGGUGGCCAAGGUAAAUGCAGAUGGACCGCUUCUAAUAGUCCAUUGACUUGGACAAUACUUUUAUGAUCUGAUCUCAAAUCAGGUAGGACUACCCGCUGAACUUAAGC
rnacentral:misc_RNA from 1 species